GUGGGGAAUUUUGGACAAUGGGGGGAACCCUGAUCCAGCCAUGCCGCGUGUGUGAAGAAGGCCUUUUGGUUGUAAAGCACUUUAAGCGAGGAGGAGGCUACCGAGAUUAAUACUCUUGGAUAGUGGACGUUACUCGCAGAAUAAGCACCGGCUAACUCUGUGCCAGCAGCCGCGGUAAUACAGAGGGUGCAAGCGUUAAUCGGAUUUACUGGGCGUAAAGCGCGCGUAGGUGGCCAAUUAAGUCAAAUGUGAAAUCCCCGAGCUUAACUUGGGAAUUGCAUUCGAUACUGGUUGGCUAGAGUAUGGGAGAGGAUGGUAGAAUUCCAGGUGUAGCGGUGAAAUGCGUAGAGAUCUGGAGGAAUACCGAUGGCGAAGGCAGCCAUCUGGCCUAAUACUGACACUGAGGUGCGAAAGCAUGGGGAGCAAACAGGAUUAGAAACCCGUGUAGUCC
rnacentral:rRNA from 1 species